rnacentral:misc_RNA from 1 species
CCCAAUAUUUCUGUUUGGUUCCUAAGAAGAAGACAGCGAAAUACAGAAAUCAGCAAAUCGCUAUUACAACGGUGAAAAAGGAAAAAAAAAUAAUAAUAAGAAUAAAAGAAUCCCUCAUUUUGUCGGUUUGCUUUUAAUUACUUUAUAGCACGAAAUUCAAAGAAAGAAAGCUUUCUUCACUUCACGAGUAUCACACGAUCGCAUUUUCAUUUCUCUCUGGCAAACCCUAAUCUACACGUUAAUUCAUUUUGCUUCACAGAUCUGCUCUUAUUCGGUGUUGUGAUCCUUCUCACCGAC